rnacentral:rRNA from 1 species
GACGAACGCUGGCGGCGUGCCUAACACAUGCAAGUCGAACGUAGUUAAGCCCUUCGGGACUUAACUUAGUGGCGAACGGGUGAGUAACGCGUGAGGAACCUGCCUUUCAGUGGGGGACAACAGUUGGAAACGACUGCUAAUACCGCAUGAAACUUUUUGGGGGCAUCCCCGAGAAGUCAAAGAUUUAUUGCUGAAAGAUGGCCUCGCGUCUGAUUAGCUAGUUGGCGGGGUAACGGCCCACCAAGGCGACGAUCAGUAGCCGGUCUGAGAGGAUGAACGGCCACAUUGGGACUGAGAUACGGCCCAGACUCCUACGGGAGGCAGCAGUGGGGAAUAUUGGGCAAUGGGCGAAAGCCUGACCCAGCAACGCCGCGUGAAGGAAGAAGGCCUUCGGGUUGUAAACUUCUUUUACCAGGGACGAAGGACGUGACGGUACCUGGAGAAAAAGCAACGGCUAAC